rnacentral:rRNA from 1 species
AUGGCGGCGGAGCUUGUGCGGGAGCUGGGCGAGAUUGAGGAGCUCGUGGAGGAGAUACUCAUCCGCCUCCUUAAGGACGAGUCAGGUAAUCUCCUCCGCUCCUUCCUCGUCUGUAAGCCAUGGCGCGACCUCCUCGCCGGCGACGGCUUCCGUCGCCGCUACGGUGAUUUCCACCAAACACCUCCCAUGCUUGGCUUCUUCCACAUCUGGCCGGAACCCUGUGCCGAGUUCAUCCCUACGACGGAUUUCGUCGCGCCCGAUCUCAACCCACGGCACCACUAUUCCGUGGAAGAUUGUCGCCACGGCCGCGUCCUCCUUCGGUACAUCGAUGAGGAUGAGAAUAUCCCAUUGCUGGUCGUCUGGGACCCCAUGACGGGCAGCGAAACAUUGCUUGGCAGCCUCGAGAAGUUGGGAACGGGAAGCUGGUCUGCCUCGGUGCUCUGUGCUGCGGACAACUGCCGCCACGGUGACUGCCAAUCGGGUCCAUUCCGCGUCGUUUUCGUCUUCCUUCACCAUGAAGAGGAGAUCGCUACGGCGUGCGUGUACUCAUCGGAGACGGGUAGUUGGAGCUCUUCGGCCGUCACCGAUGUUGGUACGUUUGAGGAUGAAAUCUAUUUCUCCAUGCCUAGUGUACUCGCAGGAGACGCGCUCUAUUUCCUCCUUUUCCGGGGCCAGGAUGUUGAAGGUUGCAGUAUUCUCAAGUACGACUUGGGAACCUCCUGUCUGUCAGAGAUUCAUCUGUCGGAGGAGAUACAGGAUGCCAUCAACAGUCCUAUCCUCAUCGCAUCGGACGAUGGUCGGCUAGGGCUCGCUGACCUGUUCAAUUUCGAGCUCUCCAUCUGGUGGAGAGAGGUGGAUCCCGAUGGAGUUGCGUCGUGGGCAGAACGCAGAGACAUCGACCUCGAGACUCUUCUUCCCACUGGUGAUUUCAAGAUAUCACCAGAAUUGGUUGGCUCCAUCGAGGGCACUGACAUCAUUUUUGCAACCACAAGUCUAGGCACCUACGAAAUUGAUCUCAAGUCACUGACAUCACCUUUGAAGAUGCUCUCCAGCUGGCUGAAUCAAGAUCCGAAUGUCAAAUGGACCAUCUUACCCUACGUUAGCUUCUACUAUCCUCCAGCGGUGGAUGGUAUUGUGGAUGAAGAAUCAAGUGAAGAUGGACAUGGCAAUGAGGAAGCAUAA